GCGUGAGUAACCUGCCCUGGAGUGGGGGAUAACAGUUGGAAACGACUGCUAAUACCGCAUAAGCCCACGAUCCGGCAUCGGAUUGAGGGAAAAGGAUUUAUUCGCUUCAGGAUGGACUCGCGCCCAAUUAGCUAGUUGGUGAGGUAACGGCCCACCAAGGCGACGAUUGGUAGCCGGACUGAGAGGUUGAACGGCCACAUUGGGACUGAGACACGGCCCAGACUCCUACGGGAGGCAGCAGUGGGGGAUAUUGCACAAUGGGGGAAACCCUGAUGCAGCGACGCCGCGUGGAGGAAGAAGGUUUUCGGAUUGUAAACUCCUGUCGUUAGGGACGAUAAUGACGGUACCUAACAAGAAAGCACCGGCUAACUACGUGCCAGCAGCCGCGGUAAAACGUAGGGUGCAAGCGUUGUCCGGAAUUACUGGGUGUAAAGGGAGCGCAGGCGGACCGGCAAGUUGGAAGUGAAAACUAUGGGCUCAACCCAUAAAUUGCUUUCAAAACUGCUGGCCUUGAGUAGUGCAGAGGUAGGUGGAAUUCCCGGUGUAGCGGUGGAAUGCGUAGAUAUCGGGAGGAACACC
rnacentral:rRNA from 1 species